CUGCAGGGUCAAGCAGGCUAUUAACAGAACAGGAGAUAAUACAGUCUAAAUUAAAAAGAAUUUGCAAUAAAAGAAGUGUAAACAUUAGAUGACUCUUUACAGGAAGUGUUUAGGAAGGCUGUGCAGGUCACAUGUCUAGGGUUGCAUAAACAAUGUGAUUUAACUCAAUUAAGCAGUGAGUUUACAGGGGCAUGAUCUAUACACCAGAAUGGCUUCAUUAAGCUAAAGGUUUUUUUUUGUUUUUCUUUUUUAGUGACUUUACUAGUACCUUUUAAUUUACUUUUUAUAUUCACUGUAAUGCACGGUUUAAUGAAUAUGCCAUUUUGAAUAUCAAGGGUGUAAACAUAUUCUGAUUUGUCAUUCUGAUGGUUGAAUAAGCUUGAUUAUGGGAAUAACACCCACUAUCCAAAUUCUUAUGCACGGUAAGAUUGAAUUACUAAAUAUUAAAGUGUAGUGAAUUUAAAUCCAAAUUUCAAAAUCUAGUCCUAAAUAACUG